rnacentral:lncRNA from 1 species
UGUAAAUCUCAAGUCUAUCCAGCAUUUGGUGCGUGGGCCAGGAAAAUCAACCGUGCUGAUUGAUUAAAAUCACUGGUUGAAGCCCUUGCGGAGGAAGUGGGGAACCGCCCUGCCCCCCACCCCCAAUGGGACAGUAUGCUCUCAGAUUUCUCUGAGUCUCCUCAGAGGACUAGGGAUGAACUGAUUACCGCCUGUGAUUUUUCCAGGCCCAGAAGAAGUGAGGAUGCUUGUCUGGUUUAGUUCGAUAUGGUCAUUGGAUAAGAUUGAAUUGUAUUUCAACCCAUGGCUCCAAGGCAAAGACAAAGAAGCUUCAGUGUUUGCCAUCAUCUUUGGAUGUCCAUUUCCACAUUUAAAGGGCAGACUCCAGCCUUUUGGUGCAGACCCUUUGGCUUCAGGAUAUUGACUCACACCAGACUCUGCAGUGAGCUCCAGGCCCUCCACUUUUGAUUGAUGCAUUCUUCACCCUGACUCUGCAGGUGAAAGUUGAGGCACUGAAAAUGAAUAGAAGCGAAUCUAGGUAUCAAGGGAAGAAGGAAGAUUCAAGUGUUUUCUUGCUGUGCAUUGUCGUUGUUGUUGUUGUCUCUGAAGAUUAUUGCUGCUCUCUGGC